rnacentral:rRNA from 1 species
CACCAGACUCCUACGGGAGGCAGCAGUCGGGAAUAUUGCGCAAUGGAGGAAACUCUGACGCAGUGACGCCGCGUAUAGGAAGAAGGUUUUCGGAUUGUAAACUAUUGUCGUGAGGGAAGAAAUUGACAGUACCUCAGGAGGAAGCUCCGGCUAACUACGUGCCAGCAGCCGCGGUAAUACGUAGGGAGCAAGCGUUAUCCGGAUUUAUUGGGUGUAAAGGGUGCGUAGACGGGAAUGCAAGUUGGUUGUGAAAUCCCUCGGCUUAACUGAGGAACUGCAACCAAAACUACAUUUCUUGAGUGCUGGAGAGGAAAGUGGAAUUCCUAGUGUAGCGGUGAAAUGCGUAGAUAUUAGGAGGAACACCAGUGGCGAAGGCGACUUUCUGGACAGUAACUGACGUUGAGGCACGAAAGUGUGGGGAGCAAACAGGAUUAGAUACCCGUGUAA